rnacentral:lncRNA from 1 species
CUUGCCUGCCGCUAUGCAAGGCGUGACUUUGCUCCUCCUUUGCCUUCUGACAUGAUUGUGAGGCCUCCCCAGCCAUGUGGAACUAGUCUUGCUCCCCAACACCAGAGGUGAGACCACCUGGAGUGACCGUCUCUUGACUAAAUAAAAAACCUCUUUCCAAGAAGAUCUAUCCUCCAAGAACCACCUGGAUUCCCCAAGAGAUUCUGGGGUCCCCAAACCUGACCUUGGAGCCUCUUUGAUUUGCAAGAUUGCUUAUUUCCAUUUUAAAGGAAGCAUUUCUAAUUAAGGAAAGCUCUGGCUAUACAUAGGAGAGAAUAGUAUAAUGGGCCCUCCUACCCCAUCAUGGAUCACCCAGCUUCAACAAUUACUAACAUUCUGACAAUCAUGUUUUAUCCAUCUCCUCCCCAGUUUGUUGGAAUAUUUUAAAACAAGUCCCAGAUGUUGUAUCAUUUCUCCUGCAAAAGUUGUUUUACUUCUCCAUAGGUAAAAUAACUUAUUAAAAACAUAACCAGAAUGUUAUUAACAUACCUACACAAAUGAACAAUAAUUCCUGAAUAUUAUCUAAUGUCAGGCCAUGUUCAAUUUUCUCCAAUUAUCUCAAAAAAUGUCUCUUUAGAGCCAGCUUGUUUGGAUCAGCAUCCAAAUGAAAGUCCACGUUUUUCAUUUGGUUGAUGCAACUUGCAAGUCUCUCUUAAUCUAUACCAUUUCUCCCUCCUUUUGAAACCAUGCUCUUUGUAUAUUAAAGAGUCUAGUAGAAAGAAUUUUACAGUCCUUGAUACAUGUUAGAAAGCUGAUUUCCAGGAGGGUUGUAACAAUUUGCGCCUCUUCCAGCAAUGUGAGGGAGUGCACAUCUUGUCAUCCCCAGCACUGAAUAUCAUUGCAAUUAAGAAAAAAUCAAUUUGAUAGGUGAAUGAUGGCAUCUUAUUGCUGUUUUGACUUGCAUUUCUGUGAUUAUAUGCAUGAUUGAACAUUUUUUUCACAUGUAUAUUGGCUGUUUGUAUUUCUUCUUUUGUGAAUUAUCUGCUUUGACCUUUGCCCCUUUUAAGAAGUGGUAUUGAUUAUCAUGCUCAAGUUUAUAAGAGAGAAAUUUUAAAUUUUUAUGUAGUCACAUUCAUUAUCUUUUCUUUCGUGAGUUCUUCGAGUGUUUU